rnacentral:lncRNA from 1 species
AUUUGUUGGCUAGAAUCACUGGGUAGGUUUAUGUUAAUGGUUGGACCUAAUCAAAACUUUCAGUGGAGGUCCAUCACCUAUUGAAAUAAAAUCUGAGGCUAAAUUAAAUACUAGAAGUUGUUUGGAGAAAAAAUUAGUUAAGAACCUACCCAUGGAUGCAUAUGGGUUGAUCGAGCCAUCCUUGGGCUUAUAUGCAGUCUAUGUGGAUUCUAGUACCCACUAAGAAAUUAAGAUAAUUCUUCGAAUUGAAGAUAGAGGCUACCAAUUUGUAUAAAAUAGUGAGAGAACCUUUAAACUGAAGACCAAGUCUUUAGGCUUAAA